rnacentral:rRNA from 1 species
GAUGAACGCUAGCGGCAGGCUUAACACAUGCAAGUCGAGGGGCAGCAUAAUGGAUAGCAAUAUCUAUGGUGGCGACCGGCGCACGGGUGCGUAACGCGUAUGCAACCUACCUUUAACAGGGGGAUAACACUGAGAAAUUGGUACUAAUACCCCAUAAUAUCAUAGAAGGCAUCUUUUAUGGUUGAAAAUUCCGAUGGUUAGAGAUGGGCAUGCGUUGUAUUAGCUUGUUGGCGGGGUAACGGCCCACCAAGCCUUCGAUGGAUAGGGGUUCUGAGAGGAAGGUCCCCCACAUUGGAACUGAGACACGGUCCAAACUCCUACGGGAGGCAGCAGUGAGGAAUAUUGGUCAAUGGACGAGAGUCUGAACCAGCCAAGUAGCGUGAAGGAUGACUGCCCUAUGGGUUGUAAACUUCUUUUAUACGGGAAUAAAGUGAGGCACGUGUGCCUUUUUGUAUGUACCGUAUGAAUAAGGAUCGGCUAACUCCGUGCCAGCAGCCGCGGUAAUACGGAGGAUCCGAGCGUUAUCCGGAUUUAUUGGGUUUAAAGGGAGCGUAGGCGGACGCUUAAGUCAGUUGUGAAAGUUUGCGGCUCAACCGUAAAAUUGCAGUUGAUACUGGGUGUCUUGAGUACAGUAGAGGCAGGCGGAAUUCGUGGUGUAGCGGUGAAAUGCUUAGAUAUCACGAAGAACUCCGAUUGCGAAGGCAGCCUGCUGGACUGUAACUGACGCUGAUGCUCGAAAGUGUGGGUAUCAAACAGGAUUAGAUACCCUGGUAGUCCACACAGUAAACGAUGAAUACUCGCUGUUUGCGAUAUACAGUAAGCGGCCAAGCGAAAGCGUUAAGUAUUCCACCUGGGGAGUACGCCGGCAACGGUGAAACUCAAAGGAAUUGACGGGGGCCCGCACAAGCGGAGGAACAUGUGGUUUAAUUCGAUGAUACGCGAGGAACCUUACCCGGGCUUGAAUUGUAACUGAAUGAUGUGGAGACAUGUCAGCCGCAAGGCAGUUGUGAAGGUGCUGCAUGGUUGUCGUCAGCUCGUGCCGUGAGGUGUCGGCUUAAGUGCCAUAACGAGCGCAACCCUUAUCGAUAGUUACCAUCAGGUUAUGCUGGGGACUCUGUCGAGACUGCCGUCGUAAGAUGUGAGGAAGGUGGGGAUGACGUCAAAUCAGCACGGCCCUUACGUCCGGGGCUACACACGUGUUACAAUGGGGGGUACAGAAGGCAGCUACACGGCGACGUGAUGCUAAUCCCGAAAGCCUCUCUCAGUUCGGAUUGGAGUCUGCAACCCGACUCCAUGAAGCUGGAUUCGCUAGUAAUCGCGCAUCAGCCACGGCGCGGUGAAUACGUUCCCGGGCCU